GCCUGCCGGCCGCGGUAUCCUGACCGUGCGAAGGUAGCAUAAUCAUUAGUCUCUUAAUUAGAGGCUGGCAUGAACGGCUGAACGAGAAAAAACCUGUCUUAGAAUUUUAUUAUUAAGUGAAAAAGCUUAAAUACCUCUGGAGGACGAUAAGACCCUAUAGAGCUUCUUGGUUGGGGCGACAUUUAGAGAUCCUUAAAGAAAGAUCAAAAGAAUAAGUUACCUUAGGGAUAACAGCGUAAUCCUUUUCAAGAGUUCCCAUCGACAAAAGGGUUUGCGACCUCGAUGUUGGAUUAAGAAAUUGUUUGGGUGCAGCAGCUCAAAUAAAAGGUCUGUUCGACCUUUAAAUUCUU
rnacentral:rRNA from 1 species